rnacentral:lncRNA from 1 species
CUGGCAGGAUUCCCUCGGCCUGAAGGCAAAGGGUAAGGGGUGUGUCCUAGCGUCAUCCCACUAUUCCAGGAUCAUGUUUCCUUUGACCUUCAGGGACUUCCGUGGCCCAGAAGCCGCUUGUCAUAAACAGACUGGUGGGGCUGCCAGAGCUUCCUUCCUCAAGAUAACGAUCUCCCCUGCCUCAGUGCUUCCCUGGCUGUCCACACUGGCAGUCUGCCCAGGCCUGAGGGGUUGAGAGGUAGAAAUGCCCUCUCCCUGCCUGCUAGGCUGAAGAUGCCAUCUUGGCACUCAUUUCUACCAUUUAACUGCUUCAACUUUGCGUCUUGGUUGUCUCAAGGGAGGAAUUUAAAUGAUAGUCUGGGGAUUGAACGGAAGCACCCAUGUGAAUACAAUAUCAUUGAGAACCAGCUCCGAAGUAAAACAAAGCUGCCUUUGAUUCUGGUGCGGUGCUACCUGGACAGAGCGGAAACUCAGGAAUCAGACAGAACUGACUCUCAAUCACUGCACUGCUUUGUACUCUGCUCAACUUCCUCACAUGGGCGUUUUUUCCUGGCCCGUAAAAUCACUGUAAAUAUUUCCAACUCAUUAGGCUGCUAUAAGAAGGGUGAAGACAAACUGAUCAACAAAUAGGUUGGUGGAUAGACACCUGCUGCCUAGCUCUGCGUCAAGAGCCUGGGAGACCACAGUAGAACGCAGUGACACUCAGUCUACAUAUGGUGGCACAAGCAGUCAGUGCCACACUGGCUCAUCCGCCAGGCAGUGUCUACAUGGUGACUCCUACCCAGGAAAUACCCUUAACAGGACAGAGCGGCAAGGAGAGGUAACACUAACUUUGGAGACAGAUGGGCCUAAUUUUGAAGCCAGCUCCUGCCACUUACUAACUCUGUGAUCUUAACCUCCCUGAGCUUCAGUUUCCUUUCUAAAAAUUGAGUUUUGCUGGGCAUCGUGGUGAAUGCCUGUAAAUCCAGCACUUGGGAGGCUGAGGCAAGAGAAUCACUGGAAGUCUGAGGCCAGCCUCAACUACAUAUUGAGUUCAAGAUCAGUCUGAACUGCGUAGUGAGACCCUGUCUCAAAAAACUAAG